rnacentral:rRNA from 1 species
UGGGGAAUUUUGGACAAUGGGCGCAAGCCUGAUCCAGCAAUGCCGCGUGAGUGAAGAAGGCCUUCGGGUUGUAAAGCUCUUUCAGUUGAGAAGAAAAGAUUGUAACUAAUAAUUGCAAUCCAUGACGGUAUCGACAGAAGAAGCACCGGCUAACUACGUGCCAGCAGCCGCGGUAAUACGUAGGGUGCGAGCGUUAAUCGGAAUUACUGGGCGUAAAGGGUGCGCAGGCGGUUCUGUAAGUCAGAUGUGAAAUCCCCGGGCUUAACCUGGGAACUGCGUUUGAAACUACAGAGCUAGAGUGUGGCAGAGGGGGGUGGAAUUCCAUGUGUAGCAGUGAAAUGCGUAGAGAUAUGGAAGAACAUCGAUGGCGAAGGCAGCCCCCUGGGUCAACACUGACGCU